rnacentral:rRNA from 1 species
AGCAGCCGCGGUAAUUCCAGCUCCAAUAGCGUAUAUUAAAGUUGUUGCAGUUAAAAAGCUCGUAGUUGAAUUUCGGGGUUAGUAGGUUGGUCAUGCCUCUGGUAUGUACUGGUCUCACUGAUUCCUCCUUCCUGAUGAACCUUAAUGCCAUUUAUUUGGUGUUUUGGGGAAUUUGGACUGUUACUUUGAAAAAUUAGAGUGUUUAAAGCAAGCUAACGCUUGAAUACAUUAGCAUGGAAUAAUGAAAUAGGACGUUCGAUCCUAUUUUGUUGGUUUCUAGGAUUGACGUAAUGAUUAAUAGGGAUAGUUGGGGGCAUUAGUAUUCAAUUGUCAGAGGUGAAAUUCUUGAAUUUAUUGAAGACUAACUACUGCGAAAGCAUUUGCCAAGGAUGUUUUCAUUAAUCAAGAACGAAAGUUAGGGGAUCGAAGACGAUCAGAUACCGUCGUAGUCUUAACCAUAAACUAUGCCGACUAGGGAUCGGAUGAUGUUAAUUUUUAAUGUACUCAUUCGGCGCCUUAC